GUUCCGGUGGCCUAGUGGUUAGAGCGUCCGCCUCGGAUGCAGGAGAUCGCUGGUUCGAACCCCGGCUGAAUCA